GGGAGUGUGCCCGAGUGGUUAAAGGGGACGGGCUGUAAACCCGUUGGCUUUGCCUACCAAGGUUCGAAUCCUUGCGCUCCCACCA
rnacentral:tRNA from 1 species